rnacentral:rRNA from 1 species
CCUACGGGAGGCAGCAGUGGGGAAUAUUGCACAAUGGGCGCAAGCCUGAUGCAGCCAUGCCGCGUGUGUGAAGAAGGCCUUCGGGUUGUAAAGCACUUUCAGCGGGGAGGAAGGCGUUAAGGUUAAUAACCUUGGCGAUUGACGUUACCCGCAGAAGAAGCACCGGCUAACUCCGUGCCAGCAGCCGCGGUAAUACGGAGGGUGCAAGCGUUAAUCGGAAUUACUGGGCGUAAAGCGCACGCAGGCGGUCUGUCAAGUCGGAUGUGAAAUCCCCGGGCUCAACCUGGGAACUGCAUUCGAAACUGGCAGGCUAGAGUCUUGUAGAGGGGGGUAGAAUUCCAGGUGUAGCGGUGAGAUGCGUAGAGAUCUGGAGGAAUACCGGUGGCGAAGGCGGCCCCCUGGACAAAGACUGACGCUCAGGUGCGAAAGCGUGGGGAGCAAACAGGAUUAGAUACCCUAGUAGUC